rnacentral:rRNA from 1 species
UACGUAGGGAGCAAGCGUUGUCCGGAAUCAUUGGGCGUAAAGCGCGCGUAGGUGGCCCCGUAAGUCCGCUGUGAAAGUCAAAGGCUCAACCUUUGAAAGCCGGUGGAUACUGUGGGACUAGAGUACGGAAGAGGCGAGUGGAAUUCCUGGUGUAGCGGUGAAGUGCGCAGAUAUCAGGAGGAACACCAAUGGCGAAGGCAGCUCGCUGGAACGGUACUGACGCUGAGGCGCGAAAGCGUGGGGAGCGAUCCGG